UCUGACGCUGCGGCACACGUCACCACGCCGCUCGUAGAGGCUUAUGGGAAGUCUCUUCAUAAACACUGCCAGUGGCUAGUAUUCGGUAAGCCUGCAAAGUUCUCCUUUGCGCGUUUCAUCGCCACCGGCGAAUGCUGUGGUUGCUUCUCCCCUCGCCGUCGAGAGGAGUGCGGUGUCCAGUUCAGAUCUAGGAGAUGUGGACCAUUUCUUGUCCUCGUGAGUAUGUGGACCAUUUCUUGUCGCUGUUUAUGUGCUAGCCAGCAGCUAGUGGCUAACUUCGCGUCUGCUGUUCUAUAGGUUGUGAUUCCAACUUGGCGUCUCUUACUUGGCUAGAGUGAUCUCUUGCUUCUCCACUGGCAAGGACUUCGGUGGACAAUACCAACGGUUACCUUGCGCAUUUCCCGUCUCCUGCACGCCGCGUGUGGUCGCUACCGGCGCCUCGGCCGUGUACCUCUGUAUUGGCACUCCGACUGUGAGAAUCGCGCAUCGGUGCACCCUCAUCUCCGGGUAAGGUAACCUCUCGGCAGCAGAAUCGUGUCAUAGUGGGUGUCCUGCUAGCUUGGCUAACGCUCUCCUCCUCCCUCGCAGGUUGUAUCCGUGUGGCCGUGGUCAGACACACCACGCGUUUAGGUGCACGAGCGGCGACUUUUAGCCCCGGUUGUGUGGUGCCUCUGGAAGCCGGGAACCCGUAUCUCGGCUGCUGCUCCGGCCUCGGGAAAUUGGACAUUCGUGUGUGUGUGUGUGUGCGUUGGCGCGCUUAGUUCAGUGUGUGUGUGUGUGUGUGUGGGCGCUCGGCUCGGUGUGAGCCGGCGUGUGAGCCAUUCCACAGUGUGUGUGCGUGUGUGUACGUUGGUGCGUGUGAGUGUGUGUGGGGAUACCUAGGGGACUGCACUGAGCUGAGCCUCUGGGGUUGGUUUACCUCAUGUUUUGGUUUUCGUUUUCUUUCGUUUGCUGUGCCUAAUUUCCUUUUUUUUCAUUAUUUCAUUCAAUUAUCUAAUUUCUUAUUUAACUGCAUGUGUUAAUUGGAUUUUGAUUUAUUUUGCAUGGUUUGCUAUGAUUUCUUGUUGUUUCUGUUUGCCGUGAAUUAUUUCUGUUUGUUGUGAACUAUUUCUUUACUUUUUCUUUUGUUAAUCCUGAGGUGUGCCAUUCGCCCUACUGUGUUAGCCGUGCCAGCCCCUAGUGGCAAAGCCUGACAACCUGAGUGUAAGUUCUAAGGCCUUGGGCCUACCAGGUGUGUUGUUUAUUGUGAAUUAAGGAACAUACUUUGGGGCAGGUGUUUACAGAUCCGCGGGUGUGGUGGCAGCACACCCACCCCUGCACUUUACUGUUAACGUGAACAUACUUUGGGGCAAGUGUUUAUCUAUCUGCGGGUGAUUGCGACAGCACACCCACCCCACUGCACUUUGUGAAUUGUGAGUACCUUUUUAUAUUUUAUUACAAAGAGUGAAAAUAUAUUUUUAUAACGCAAAGAAUAAUAAAGAUUUGAAUUAUUAAUUGUCA